rnacentral:tRNA from 1 species
CAAGAUGUAGCUACAACACAAAGCAUUCAGCUUACACCUGAAAGACAUCUGACAUCAACCAGAUCAUCUUGA